rnacentral:rRNA from 1 species
CCUACGGGGUGCUGCAGUGGGGGACAUUGCACAAUGGGGGGAACCCUGAUGCAGCGACGCCGCGUGUGGGAAGACGGUCCUCUGGAUUGUAAACCACUUUCCCAGGGACGAAAAUGACGGUACCUGGGGCGGAAGCGCCGGCUAACUACGUGCCAGCAGCCGCGGUAAUACGUAGGGAGCGAGCGUUGUCCGGAAUUACUGGGUGUAAAGGGAGCGUAGGCGGGGAUGCAAGUUGGGUGUCAAAACUACCGGCUCAACUGGUAGUCGCACUCAAAACUGCAGCUCUUGAGUGAAGUAGAGGCAGGCGGAAUGCCUGGUGUAGCGGUGAAAUGCGUAGAUAUUAGGAGGAACACCAGUGGCGAAGGCGGCCUGCUGGGCUUUUACUGACGCUGAGGCUCGAAAGUGUGGGGAGCAAACAGGAUUAGAUACCCGUGUAGUC